CUGGCGGCCGAGGCCGGAACAGCCCCUGAGCGUCCGUGCGGGCGGUGCGGGCGAUGCCGGCCGCGCGGCCACCCUGGUCCCUGCCUUCCAGCCGGGCUGCAGCGGAAAUCAGUGACAAGUGGGACGAGCAGCCAGAUGGCACGCAGUCAGCUCCCGGGUGCACAGAGAAAGCGACGCGAGCUGCCGAGGACGACGGAAUCACCAGUGAGUUCAGCCGCCACGCAUCAGAGGUCAUGAAACACCUGUCGGCUUUGUUUGUUUUACCAUUGAUGCAUUGACCAGACGCAAAUAGCAUAAAUUGUCAAAAGACCUGAAUAUAGAGAAUUUACACAAGGAAAAAACUUUCCAUCAUAUGAAAAUAAUGCUAAGUUACCAAAAUGUCCUGGCCUCCAUUUCUGGCCAGACUGUGAAGGAACUUGGUUCACGACAACGUUCCAGGACUGGGUGAAACUCGUGAUUCCAUCAGAGGACAGUUUGGUGCAGGACGAACCACAAGCCGUAAAAAUGAUCCUGCCCUAUGAUGGACCCCAUCAGCAGUCCCGGACCUGGGAAACAGGCGAAAGAUAUAAUUAAAGGAAGAAAAACGCUUUUGGAUGGGAGAUAAAUAUAGGAGGAUUCGUUAGAGUCAUACUGAGAAUGGACAGGCGGGCCGAGGGUUACUCCUUUUGAAGGGGACUGAGUAAGCGCGCUUCCCAACUUCCACUAAACUGUUUGAAGGGUUUAUUUUCCUUUAUUUGAAAAACCUAACACAGACGUUUUCCAAUGUGGGCUGUAUAUCCAGAAUAAUGAAGAAAGUAGCUUAAUUUGUCUUUGGAGAUAAAUAGCCACUUGAAGAUGUGCCUUAAGACAGCAAGCAUUGAAUUACCCUUACAUUUGUGGAUACUUAUUCUUUUUAACUUUUAAAACGUGAAGUAUAGUCUUUUAUUAAUAAAUCAAAUUUCUAUGUAAUUUUAUUCCUGUAAUGUUAAGUGUAGCCCUAAAACUUUGCUGUUAAUUCCCCAAAGAUCAUUCCUUUUCUCUUUACCACAAUAUUCAUGUCUGUAAGUCCAUUUCUGAGUAUAAAUGUUUAGAUAUUAUCGGGUCAGACGUGGAAGGCUGAAAGCUUUAAAAAGUCCUCCUGGGCCGGAAGGGUCCGGCCAGUGUGCCCUCAGUGCCCUGCGCUGCGUUCUUCCUCCCCACGGCAGCUCUUAUUCUAAUUCUUCCUCUGCGAGUGAACCUCGAGCCAUCUCCCCUGGUGCGUCUUGGGUCUUUAGCGCUGAGUCCUCAGAGAGUCGAGCCGUGACCUGUCCACAGUUGGUAGAUUUGUUGUGAAAACACCAGGACCUGCAGCCAGAGCUCUGUGGUGUCCUCCUGAAGGGUGGGGAGAGGGCCUCCCCUUGUCCUUUGGGUCACCUGGAGACCCUCUGCCUCGGAGCAGCGGCCUGGGUGUGAGAAAGUCUCAGCUGGUGAGGAAGGAGGUGGAGGUUUGCGAUUCUCCCACACGGAAUAUGAAGCCCGAAGAACUCUCCCCCAGGCCUCGGCCUCCGCAGACUCGGGGCUGGUGCAGCUCCGGGAGCAGCCGCUGCUCAGGAAGCUCCGGGCCCGAGCUGGGGGAGGGCCACGGUCAGGGCCGGGCUGGUUUACGAUUGUAACCAAGCAUCUCAGGAAACCUUCCUCUUUCCCUCGGCUUCUACCCUCUGCGCUGGCCUCACCUCUCGGUGGAGGGUUCUAUGAUACUUCUACUGUCUUAUCCAUUUUCGAGAAACAAACCCUUCCCCACGUGGGUUAGCUGUGACUAACAAACUUCUCUACCUAACCUUUUUUCCGUUAGAAAAUACGUUCCAAGCUCCCCCGCAGGACUCUGGGAACAAGAGAGAUCUCUGCGCCCGGGCAGCCCCUCCAGAGAGGAGACUCCUUCGGGAGGGAGGAAGCAGGGGCGGGAGCAGGCGUUGCAGGGCCUCCCAGCAGCCGUGCGCCCCGGGCAGUUAUCCGCUGCCUGUCUGGGCCUCUGUUUCCCUACAUUUAGAGCCAGAUAGUCGUACAUGCAGAGCUCUGAGAGUCAGAGACAAGAUAGGAGAGUGUCCAAAAACAGGCUCUGCACACUGAAUAAAACAAAGCAGAAGCACAAGUUUAUUGCAAGGCUUUCGACCGGCAAGCCAGGAAACUCAAGGCUAUGGGAGCAGUGAGUUCCAAGUUGCUCACGGACCACGGGAUUUUCCUGGGAUAAAUGCACAAGAUAUUCGGCUUCUGCAGCUGAUCGGUGGCCCAGCAGUCUUCUUUCUUACUUGGAUCCGGGUAGCUGAGUCAGGGGAAGUCCAGAGAUGGCGUGAACGGACUUGGCAUUUGGGGAUUGGCUGGUGAACUCUGCUGAUUUCCGAGAUCUGUCAAUUCCUGUAAGGUUAAUAAGGCUCCAGGAGGGUGCCUUCCUUUCCCAGGAUCACCCUUCAAGUGUCACCUCAUGGGAGGUCACCAACCCUGGGCCAUGAGCCUCCUCCCCCACCUCGAAGACCUGAGCAGCAUCGGUGGACUCGUACAGCACACCCAUCCUUUCCCUCUUUCUUUCCAUUCCUUGCAGAAAAUAGCACAGUUGCUACUGCAGGGCUUUGAAUCGCAAGCCUGCUGGCUGAAGACACAGUGACUUUUCUCAAUUUUCUUAUAACACACGCCACGUGGAAUCAUCUCAUCCAACUGAGUUGGGCAGCAGGUGUCUCUUGUGCACAAAGAAAAAGGUUGUUUAUAGAAACCAGAAAUAUCACUUAUGCAGUUGUACCCUGACCGUCAGCCCUGUACGGCACUCAGUGUUGACCUGCCCUGAAAGAAAUGAUAAGGGAAUCCUUCCAGUUGAAGUGAAAAUACACUAGACAGUAACAUGAAGAUGUGAAGAAAUAAAGAUGUCUGGUAAAAG
rnacentral:lncRNA from 1 species